UGUUCCCGGGCCUUGUACACACCGCCCGUCACACCACGAAAGUUGGCAAUACCCGAAGCCGGUGGCCUAACCCGUAAGGGAGGGAGCCGUCUAAGGUAGGGUUGAUGAUUGGGGUG
rnacentral:rRNA from 1 species